rnacentral:rRNA from 1 species
CCUACGGGGGGCAGCAGUGAGGAAUCUUGGUCAAUGGGCGCGAGCCUGAACCAGCCAAGUAGCGUGAAGGAUGACUGCCCUACGGGUUGUAAACUUCUUUUAUGAAGGAAUAAAGUGAGGCACGUGUGCCUUUUUGUAUGUACUUUAUGAAUAAGGAUCGGCUAACUCCGGGCCUGCAGCCGCGGUAAUACGGAGGAUCCGAGCGUUAUCCGGAUUGAUUGGGUUUAAAGGGAGCGUAGAUGGGUUGUUAAGUCAGUUGUGAAAGUUUGCGGCUCAACCGUAAAAUUGCAAUUGAUACUGGCAGUCUUGAGUACAGGUGAGGUAGGCGGAAUUCGUGGUGUAGCGGUGAAAUGCUUAGAUAUCACGAAGAACUCCGAUUGCGAAGGCAGCUUACUAAACUGCCACUGACAUUGAUGCUCGAAAGUGUGGGUAUCAAACAGGAUUAGAUACCCUGGUAGUC